AUUUUGUCACCGUUGAGCAGUAAAAGUCUGCAUUUGCAGGCUUUGCAAGGGAAUCCAGUGAAAGUCUGGAACAGUACCCGCUACUGUAAAUUCGUCUACUCCUAUAGGGGUGGUAAACUUGGUGCACCAAAAGUCACUGGCCAUAGGCUGGGAAGACGCAUCAGGCUAUGCGGAUAAGUCAGGAGACCUGCUGUUUGACUAUGAUGCCA
rfam:Porphyromonas sp. COT-290_OH860 contig_58, whole genome shotgun sequence.